GAUGAAGAACGCAGCGAAAUGCGAUAAGUAGUGUGAAUUGCAGAAUUCAGUGAAUCAUCGAAUCUUUGAACGCACAUUGCGCCCCUUGGUAUUCCAUGGGGCAUGCCUGUUCGAGCGUCAUUUGUACCUUCAAGCUCUGCUUGGUGUUGGGUGUUUGUCUCGCCUCUGCGUGUAGACUCGCCUCAAAACAAUUGGCAGCCGGCGUAUUGAUUUCGGAGCGCAGUACAUCUCGCGCUUUGCACUCAUAACGACGACGUCCAAAAGUACAUUUUUACACUCUUGAACUCGGAUCAGGUAGGGAUACCCGCUGAACUUAAGCAUAUCAAUAAGCGGAGGA
rnacentral:misc_RNA from 1 species